CCUUGAGGCGUGGCUUCCGGAGCUAACGCGUUAAGUAGACCGCCUGGGGAGUACGGCCGCAAGGUUAAAACUCAAAUGAAUUGACGGGGGCCCGCACAAGCGGUGGAGCAUGUGGUUUAAUUCGAUGCAACGCGAAGAACCUUACCUGGUCUUGACAUCCACAGAACUUUCCAGAGAUGGAUUGGUGCCUUCGGGAACUGUGAGACAGGUGCUGCAUGGCUGUCGUCAGCUCGUGUUGUGAAAUGUUGGGUUAAGUCCCGCAACGAGCGCAACCCUUAUCCUUUGUUGCCAGCGAUUAGGUCGGGAACUCAAAGGAGACUGCCAGUGAUAAACUGGAGGAAGGUGGGGAUGACGUCAAGUCAUCAUGGCCCUUACGACCAGGGCUACACACGUGCUACAAUGGCGCAUACAAAGAGAAGCGACCUCGCGAGAGCAAGCGGACCUCAUAAAGUGCGUCGUAGUCCGGAUUGGAGUCUGCAACUCGACUCCAUGAAGUCGGAAUCGCUAGUAAUCGUGGAUCAGAAUGCCACGGUGAAUACGUUCCCGGGCCUUGUACACACCGCCCGUCACACCAUGGGAGUGGGUUGCAAAAGAAGUAGG
rnacentral:rRNA from 1 species